UACGAAGGGUGCAAGCGUUAAUCGGAAUUACUGGGCGUAAAGCGUGCGCAGGCGGUUAGUUAUGUCCGAUGUGAAAGCCCCGGGCUCAACCUGGGAAUGGCAAUGGAAACUGGCGGGCUAGAGUGUGGCAGAGGGGGGUGGAAUUCCGCGUGUAGCAGUGAAGUGCGUAGAGAUGCGGAGGAACACCGAUGGCGAAGGCAGCCCCCUGGGCUAGCACUGACGCUCAGGCACGAAAGCGUGGGGAGCAAACAGG
rnacentral:rRNA from 1 species